rnacentral:misc_RNA from 1 species
GAUGAAGAACGCAGCUAAAUGCGAUAAGUAAUGUGAAUUGCAGAAUUCAGUGAAUCAUCGAAUCUUUGAACGCACAUUGCGCCCCCUGGUAUUCCGGGGGGCAUGCCUGUCCGAGCGUCAUUACAACCCUCAAGCUCAGCUUGGUGUUGGGCCCCGCCGCCCCGGCGGGCCCUAAAGUCAGUGGCGGUGCCGUCCGGCUCCGAGCGUAGUAAUUCUUCUCGCUCUGGAGGUCCGGUCGUGUGCUCGCCAGCAACCCCCAAUUUUUUUCAGGUUGACCUCGGAUCAGGUAGGGAUACCCGCUGAACUUAAGCAUAUCAAUAAGCGGAGGA